rnacentral:rRNA from 1 species
UACAUAGAAUGCAAGCGUUGUCCGGAAUUAUUGGGUUUAAAGGGUGCGCAGGCUGUUUUGUCAGUCAGAGGUUAAAGACCGGAGCUUAACUCCGCGUUUGCCUUUGAUACUGCAAGACUUGAAAUACAUAUGGGUAAGCGGAAUUCCUCAUGUAGCGGUGAAAUGCACAGAUAUGAGGAGGAAGACCAAAGGCGAAGGCAGCUUACUGGGUGUUAUUUGACGCUGAGGCACGAAAGCGUGGGGAGCGAACAGG